UUCAUUCUUUAAAGUCAGUGUCAGUGAUCACCAGUUAAAGGCAGGGUAGGCAUCAUUUUGAUGGUAAUUUGUUACUUUCAUUGCUAGCAAACGUAGCUACCUAAGCAUAGAGUUAACGGUAGCUACCUACUUAGCAUUCAGCUAACUGUUGCUACGAGUGCAGGCUGGUGUAGGAGCCAGAGUAGAGACGAUGAAUUAUAUCUAGCUGUAGGUGAGCUGGAAAACAGCAGCGCAAGCUGUGUUUUCCGACGCUAACAUUAGGUUAGACAAUGUCACCGGCAGAUUUGGAGUCUUUCAUAGCCCUGUACUUCUCACCAGUAUACGCUGAUUGGCCCAUGUUGGUUGGCCUGGAUUACAACCACCGUGUCCACAGUCCAGCCAGGAGAAAAGCUGAUGACACAGUUCAGUAUGCUGCAUUGAGUCCUCUUAUGCAUUUUACUCAAUACAUUUAUACGUGAUGAGUCAAAAAAUAUUAAACAGUAUGAGGAACACC